UUGAUCCUGGCUCAGAAUCAACGCUGGCGGCGUGCCUAACACAUGCAAGUCGAACGAGAAAGUGGAGCAAUCCAUGAGUAAAGUGGCGACCGGGUGAGUUACACGUGACUAACCUACCUUCAAGUGGGGGAUAACCUCGGGAAACCGGGUCUAAUACCGCAUAACAUCCUUAGAGUGGAAACUCCGGGGAUCAAAGGAGUAAUUCGCUGGAAGAGGGGGUCGCGGCUGAUUAGCUAGUUGGCGGGGUAAUGGCCCACCAAGGCAGAGAUCGGUAGCCGGCCUGAGAGGGCGCACAGCCAUACUGGAACUGAAACACGGUCCAGACUCCUACGGGAGGCAGCAGUGGGGAUUUUUGCGCAAUGGGGGAAACCCUGACGCAGCAACGCCGCGUGGAGGAUGUAGUCCCUUGGGAUGUAAACUUCGCAAGAAUGGGAAGAAUUAGUAGGGGUUAAUACCCUCUAUGAUGACGGUACCAUUUGUAAGCUCCGGCUAACUCCGUUCCAGCAGCCGCGGUAAUAAGGU
rnacentral:rRNA from 1 species